UACGGGGGGAGCAAGCGUUGUUCGGAUUUACUGGGCGUAAAGGGCGCGUAGGCGGUAGCACAAGUCAGUCGUGAAAUCUCCGGGCUUAACUCGGAAAGGUCAACUGAUACUGUGCGGCUAGAGUGCAGAAGGGGCAACUGGAAUUCUCGGUGUAGCGGUGAAAUGCGUAGAUAUCGAGAGGAACACCUGCGGCGAAGGCGGGUUGCUGGGCUGACACUGACGCUGAGGCGCGAAAGCCAGGGGAGCGAACGGG
rnacentral:rRNA from 1 species